rnacentral:rRNA from 1 species
GGAUUAGGCAUGCAAGUCGGACGAGAAUCCGUUGCUUCAAGUUUUCGGACGAGAAGCGGCGGAGGAGAGUGGCGAAAGGGUGAGUAACGCGUGGGUAACCUGCCUCGAAGUUGGGGAUAACCCUCCGAAAGGAGGGCUAAUACCGAAUGUGGUUUUGUCGCGCAUGUGACGGGGAUUAAAGGUGGGGAUUCUUCGGAACCUGCCGCUUUGAGAGGGGCCCGCGUCCGAUCAGCUUGUUGGUGAGGUGAAGGCUCACCAAGGCUGCGACCGGUAGCUGGUCUGAGAGGAUGGUCAGCCACACUGGGACUGAGACACUGCCCAGACUCCUACGGGAGGCUGCAGUCGAGGAUCAUUCGCAAUGCCCGAAAGG